GGACGGAAGGAACUAGCGCCGCGUUGUUGUGAGAAAUGACAACAGAAAUGUCAAGCUGUCAAGCCUGACAUUUUUUUUUUUUUUUGUAAACAAACACUUUUCUUUCACAUUACAGUGGUCGAUUAUUUUUUGAAAAAAGUCACAUUUAAGACAUUUAUAUUCAUAAAAAGUGAAUUAAAUAUCAGAAUGUUAAAAAAAACGUUCAUGUAAUUCAAGUAAACAAGUGCGGUGUCGUGUUAUUUGCAUAAAUUUGUAUAUUUUACAAAGGGUAUUCAGAACUUAACAUUUUGUCGUUAUUUCUGUCGUCGGUCUCUAUCCCCGUUGUGUUUGGAAACCUCAAAGUCAUUUUGUCGGUCGCAUCUCGGGCUGCGCAAAAAUGAACCAAAAAAAAAAAAACAAAAAACCUUGCGUGAAAAGUUGAAGAUCAAAAAAGACAAAAUGAUUCCAACUGCUGGCGGCAAGUCACAACAACAACCGAACCAGGAUCUAAGAAGAAGGCUGAACAUGAAUCAGAACCAACAAAAUUACAUAACAACAGCAGUGUCACCACCAGCAAAAGCAGCAGGAGAAUAAAGAUAAAGUCAUACUACGUAGAUCAUCAUCUGACCUCCUAGAACCUAGAUGAAAGUCUAACGAUUAGAUUAAAUGGUAGAAGAAGUUAUAUUAAUAAUUAAUUAUAACUAUAAGAAGAAAGAAAUAAUAUCGCUUUAUACAAAUAAUCAUUGAAAUAAAAAUGUAUAUACAUUUGUAUGUACAUACAAAAUAA